CCGAACCGACUAAUGUUGAAAAAUUAGCGGAUGACCUGUGGCUGGGGGUGAAAGGCCAAUCAAACCGGGAGAUAGCUGGUUCUCCCCGAAAGCUAUUUAGGUAGCGCCUCGUGAAUUCAUCUCCGGGGGUAGAGCACUGUUUCGGCUAGGGGGCCAUCCCGGCUUACCAACCCGAUGCAAACUGCGAAUACCGGAGAAUGUUAUCACGGGAGACACACGGCGGGUGCUAACGUCCGUCGUGAAGAGGGAAACAACCCAGACCGCCAGCUAAGGUCCCAAAGUCAUGGUUAAGUGGGAAACGAUGUGGGAAGGCCCAGACAGCCAGGAUGUUGGCUUAGAAGCAGCCAUCAUUUAAAGAAAGCGUAAUAGCUCACUGGUCGAGUCGGCCUGCGCGGAAGAUGUAACGGGGCUAAACCAUGCACCGAAGCUGCGG
rnacentral:rRNA from 1 species